GGAUCCACCCGCUGUCGGAAGCGCUGCCACUCCCACAGACUGAUGUCUCCCUCUUAGAGAGGGAGAGCCGAGAAAGCGGAUUGUGUCGCAGUCAUAUGGACUUUUGAGAUGGGAUGUGGGCAAAUCUGGUUGGGCCAGCAUCUCCUGUCUAUCCCUAAUUAUAAGAGAGAAGUCAAGAGAUAACCAUAUUAAUGGAGCUCUGGAGUCACAUGUAGGCUUGACCAGAUGAAGUCUCAGCUGCGUUGAAACAGGGUACUGUGCAGUGUGGCUCAAGGAUGACCAACCAUGUCUUCCGAAUCUCCUGACUACCACUUACAAUUGCACCUAGGGCUGUCAGAAGAUUGUUUCUCUGUGAAUUUUAAGUUUGGGCUUGUAAUGUUUUCACAUUUUGCAGGGAUAGUAUUGAAAUAGAAAAAAAACUGUUUGCUGGUUUGUUCAAUUGCAUGUAAAACACAAAUUUAAUACUGGAGAUUGACACUUCCACUUCGUACUGAGAGUUGAGAGAUUUAUUCAGAUAAACUGACUCAGAAAGGUAUUGAAUAUCCAGUAAUCUUUUGUUUUAAUUGCUUUAUUGGAAUUUCCCCAAAAUAUGAAGUUGAGUCAUUACCUGCCACAAGUGCAAGUAAGUUCCAGGUUUGAUUUCUUAGUCUGUGUCAACAUAGUUGAACUCAGCACUGCAGUUGUCCUCAUUUCCAGACUAAUGGGGGAAAAAAUACAUCAGGGUUUCAAAUUCAUUCCAUACGGCAAUAUGAUGGUGCAGUGGUGAUGUUACUAGACUAAUAAUCAAGAUGCUCAAAGUUUGGGAGAAGAUUUGUAGCUCGGGUGCUCGUUGUUGUGGUUCUGUUCGCCGA